UGACCAUGAAGCCCAGGAGGGCAGCCCUAACCUGGGCAUGAAGUACCCGCAGAUCUCUCGACCCUCCAUCAUCAGACACCCACAGAAUACAGUGGCUUCUGAAGCUUUUAAUGCUGAAAAACUAUGCAGAACCAGACACAAAGGCGACUGAGUGAUUGGCAGUGCAACCUGCUCACUGCUUGAUGAGGGCACCGAUAACCUAGAGGGUUUUCGAAUGAUCAGGCUUCACACAGGGGCCUAUCGGUUACCAUUGGCAACCGUAAUCCGAAGCCGCAACAGCCAGCGAAUUCACUCACUGAUGGCAGCGUGGCAACAAU